AACGAACGCUGGCGGCAUGCCUAACACAUGCAAGUCGAACGAGACCUUCGGGUCGAGUGGCGCACGGGUGCGUAACGCGUGGGAACCUGCCCUUAAGUUCGGAAUAACUCCCCGAAAGGGGUGCUAAUACCGGGUAAUUUCUGCGUACCAAAGAUUUAUCGCCUUUGGAUGGGCCCGCGUUGGAUUAGCUAGUUGGUAGGGUAAAAGCCUACCAAGGCGACGAUCCAUAGCUGGUCUGAGAGGAUGAUCAGCCACACUGGGACUGAGACACGGCCCAGACUGCUACGGGAGGCAGCAGUGGGGAAUAUUGGACAAUGGGCGAGAGCCUGAUCCAGCAAUGCCGCGUGAGUGAUGAAGGCCUUAGGGUUGUAAAGCUCUUUUACCCGGGAUGAUAAUGACAGUACCGGGAGAAUAAGCUCCGGCUAACUACGUG
rnacentral:rRNA from 1 species